UACGGGGGGGGCAAGCGUUGUUCGGAAUUACUGGGCGUAAAGGGCUGGUAGGCGGCCAACUAAGUCGGAUGUGAAAUCCCCAGGCUUAACCUGGGAACUGCAUCCGAUACUGGUCGGCUUGAAUCCGGGAGAGGGAUGCAGAAUUCCAGGUGUAGCGGUGAAAUGCGUAGAUAUCUGGAGGAACACCGGUGGCGAAGGCGGAUCUCUGGGCCUUACCUGACGCUGAGGCGCGAAAGCUAGGGGAGCGAACAGG
rnacentral:rRNA from 1 species